UCACAGCGACUACAGCAGCACAGAGUAUCAGCAGCAGGACACUGAGCACUGAGCAUCUCACUUUGAAGAAGACCAGGUCGUGGGGGUG